rnacentral:lncRNA from 1 species
GGGGGACACAUGCUGGGGACGUGGGGACCUUCUGGGGACAUGGGGACCUGCUGGGGACCUGCUGGGGAGAUAGGGGGACACAUGUGGGAUGUAUGGGGACCUUCUGGGGACAUGGGGACCUUCUGGGGACGUGGGGGUGGCAGAAGGACUCCAAGAGGACCCACAGAUGGCAGGAGAACCCCAAGGAGACACAGGGACCUUCUGGGGACAUGGGGUGGCAGGGGGACCCUCUGGGGACAUGGGGACCUUCUGGGGACGUGGGGGUGGCAGGAGGACCCAAGGGGACCCGCAGGUGGCAGGAGGACCCCAAGGAGACACAGGGACCUUCUGGGGACAUGGGGUGGCAGGAGGACCCCAAGGGGACAUAAGGACCUUCUGGGGACAUGGGGGUGGCAGGAGGACCCCAAGGGGACACAGGGACCUUCUGGGGACAUGGGGGUGGCAGGAGGACCCCAAGGGGACACAGGGACCUUCUGGGGACAUGGGGACCCUCUGGGGACAUGGGGGUGGCAGGAGGACCCCAAGGGACAUGGGGGUGGCAGGAGGACCCCAAGGGGACACAGGGACCUUCUGGGGACAUGGGGAACCUCUGGGGACAUGGGGGUGGCAGGAGGACCCCAAGGGACAUGGGGAGCUUCUGGGGACCUGGUUGUGGCAGGAGGACCCCAGGAGGACAUGGGGGUGGCAGGAGGACCCCAAGGGACAUGGAGACCCUCUGGAGAUGUGGCAGUGGCAG